GCACCGCAGUCCCAGAGGGAUGGCAAUCUCGAAACAGCUUUGUAGUACAGCUACAACAAAUCUCGCCCCGUAGAAGCAGGGAAACCCGAACAGAGACACAUGUAUAGUAGUAGUGUUCCCACACUCGUUCCCAUACGCUUUUGUAGAGACAAAUACCGGCCCCAAGGUCCACACGAGGAGCAGCACUCGUCGGAGGCCUGUGGGCCCCUGCGCUGAAGUUAAAUUGAAUUGAGAGCUUUGUUAUCGCUCUGACAGAAUUAUGAUGCGAUAAUGCUCCUAAUGACCUGUUUUUGUUGUCAACGUCGUUUAAAAAUAAACUAGACUGUGAAAUUUAAUUAAGGCAGCCUAGCCGGAACGCAAAGGCGGAAAAUCAUGUUGGUCAAGCGAUAAAUCCAAUUUCACACCAUUGGGAAAACCACCAAUAGCCCCCAAUCAUCCUGAACCCUUAGGCGGGCUUCAGUUCCUGCCACGCCGAGUAUUUACACUUUCGUACGGAUUAAUAUAGACUAUCCAUGAGGGAGCAGAUUCGUUGGAUGCAAAGAAUUAACUGGAGCAUUAGGCGAUCUGGGAGACAGAAGGUAGAUAAAAGCAGACAGGCCUCCCUUUAGAAUGCGGGUAUUGCAUACAUGGCGAAUGUACACAUUUUCCAAAAAUAAAACACCUUCAAUACACCAGUCCAUGCGAGUAGAUAUACAUAUGUAUGUGUUUUCCAGCCAUACAUAAACCGUGUUGGAAUAUACAAUUUUUUGGCAUUCUUUAAAAAUACAAAAUUCAAUAAAUUAAUGAACAAUAAUGAGAGCUAUGGCUACCCUA